rnacentral:rRNA from 1 species
UAUCAGCUUGUUGGCGGGGUAACGGGCCCAACCAAGGCAAAGACGGGUAUGGGGCGUGAGAGCGUGCCCCCACUCACUGGGACUGAGACACUGCCCAGACACCUACGGGUGGCUGCAGUCGAGAAUCUUCGGCAAUGGGCGCAAGCCUGACCGAGCGACGCCGCGUGCGGGAUGAAGGCCUUCGGGUUGUAAACCGCUGUCGUAGGGGAGGAAGGCUCCGUGCAGAACGGAGUUUGACCG